rnacentral:rRNA from 1 species
GCAGUGGGGAAUCUUGCGCAAUGGGCGAAAGCCUGACGCAGCGACGCCGCGUGAGGGAAGAAGGCCUUCGGGUUGUAAACCUCUUUCAGGAGGGACGAAGGUCGGGUUAAUAGCGGCCCGAGUGACGGUACCUCCAGAAGAAGCCCCGGCUAACUACGUGCCAGCAGCCGCGGUAAUACGUAGGGGGCAAGCGUUGUCCGGAAUUAUUGGGCGUAAAGAGCGUGUAGGCGGUCCGGUCAGUCGGUUGUGAAAGUCAGGGGCUCAACCCUUGAAUGCCGGCCGAUACUGCCGGGCUAGAGUCCGGAAGAGGAAAAUGGAAUUCCCGGUGUAGCGGUGAAAUGCGCAGAUAUCAGGAAGAACACCCGUGGCGAAGGCGGUUUUCUGGGACGGUACUGACGCUGAGACGCGAAAGCGUGGGGAGCGAACAGGAUUAGAUACCCCUGUAG